rnacentral:rRNA from 1 species
GAUCAACGCUGGCGGCGUGCCUAAUGCAUGCAAGUCGCACGGGCUAUCUUCGGAUAGUCAGUGGCGAACGGCUGAGGAACACGUACGAACCUGCCCUGCGCUGGGGAAUAACUCCACGAAAGUGGUGCUAAUACCGCGUACGCUUGUGCAAACAAGGAGAGCCGCGAGGCGGCGCAGGAGGGGCGUGCGGCCCAUCAGGUAGUUGGCGGGGUAAUGGCCCACCAAGCCGGUGACGGGUAGCUGGUCUGUGAGGACGAUCAGCCAGACUGGGACUGCGACACGGCCCAGACACCUACGGGUGGCAGCAGCAAGGAAUCUUCCACAAUGGGCGCAAGCCCGAUGGAGCAACGCCGCGUGCAGGAUGACGGCUUUCGGGUUGUAAACUGCUUUGAGGGGGGAUGAUACAGACAGUACCCCCAAAACCAGCCCCGGCUAACUCUGUGCCAGCAGCCGCGGUAAGACAGAGGGGGCAAGCGUUGUCCGGAAUGACUGGGCGUACAGCGCGCGCAGGCGGGUAUGGACGUGCUGUGUGACAGCGCGGGGCUCAACCCCGCGUCGCCACAGUAGACGCCAUUGCCUGGAGUGGGUGAGAGGGAUGUGGAAUGCCCGGUGGAGCGGUGAAAUGCGUAGAGAUCGGGCGGAACACCAGUGGCGCAAGCGGCAUCCUGGCACCAAACUGACGCUGAGGCGCGAGAGCGUGGGGAGCAAACGGGAUUAGAUACCCCGGUAGUCCACGCCGUAAACGAUGUGGAGCCGGCGCUGGUGGGUGAUUGUACCCGUCGGUGCCUGAGCUUACGCGAUGACUCCACCGCCUGGGGACUACGGCCGCAAGGCUAAAACUCAAAGGAAUUGACGGGGGCCCGCACAAGCAGCGGAGCGUGUGGUUUAAUUCGACGCAACACGAAGAACCUUACCUAGGCUUGACAUAGGACUGCAAGCAGGUGAAAGCCUGCUGCCUUCGAGGGUGUCCUACUGGUGCUGCAUGGCUGUCGUCAGCUCGUGUCGUGAGAUGUUGGGUUAAGUCCCGCAACGAGCGCAACCCUUGCCCCAUGUUACUUGUGUCAUGGGGGACUGCCGUGGUGUAGACCACGGAGGAAGGCGGGGAUGACGUCAAGUCCGCAUGGCCCGUACGUCUAGGGCUACACACACGCUACAAUGGGUCGCGUAAUACGCUGCGACCGGGCAACCGGAAGCAAAUCGGGAAGCCGACCCUUAGUGCAGAUGGAGGGCUGCAACUCGCCCUCUUGAAGACGGAGUUGCUAGUAACCGCGUGUCAGCAAAGCGCGGUGAAUACGUACCCGGGCCU